rnacentral:pre_miRNA from 1 species
GGGGUGGAUAAGGAGACGAGUACCACGCUUGAUAGGUGUGGUACCCGUUCUCCGUCAUCCUUCC